rnacentral:sRNA from 1 species
CCUGGAAAAAGGAGUCAGUGAGUUGGAAAAGAUGAGAUCAUUGAAAGCAAGACAGUUUUUUAACUCUACAUCUUGACUUCUGGUGUACUCUGGCAAUCUAGACCACCUUCCUUAUGUCACUCACACUCUCUUUUAUCCCAGCAGACACGGCAACUGAUACCUUAAGUCUUUCUGCUGUUGCUAACUAGCCCCUCAAAUUCUCAUGGAGGAAUCAUCUAGACUCUGUUCUCUGUAAAUAUAGCAUUUUCAUCGCUGUAAAAAGUUUUCUGUAUCCAUGAAGAGUGACUGCCUGUUCUUAACCCUCAACCCCUGGCAACUACUCAUCUUCGUAUGCUUAUGAAUUUGCCUAUUUUGGACAUCUCAUGUUAAUGGAGCCAUACAAUAUGUGGCCUUUUUGUCUGUUUUGCCACCUUCCCCAAAGUAAUGAGUUCAAACUACAUCUGUGUUGUAGCAUGUACUGGUACUGUUUCUUUUGUGGCUGAAUAUUGUCAUAUUGAUAUACUGUAUCUUUUUUUGCUUGUUCUUUUGGUUGUGGAUACUUGUGUUCUUUCUGCUUUGCAUACUAUGAAUACUACAACUAUGAACACUUUGUGUACAUGUUUUCAUUUCUCUUAUGUCUUAAGCAUCUUAUGGUUUUAGUUCGUAAAUUUCUGUCUUUGAUCCAUUUUUGCAUGUGGUGCAUUGUAGGGGUCCAGUUUCAUUCUUUAAUAUGUGGAUAUCUAGUAGAACAAUACCUAAUUGUUAAAAAUACUAAUAAUAAUUUCUUUAUAAAUGGGCUUGGUAUCCUUGUCAGAAACACAUAUAAAAGUGACUAAUAUAAAUAUGGCUAGUUUUGGACUCUUCAACUUUAUUCCAUUGUCCUGUGUGUCUCUCUUCUUGUGCCAGUACCAUACUGUCUUAAUUACUGUAGCUAUAUAGUAAGCUUUGAAUUUAGGAUAUAUUAGGUCUCUAGCUUUGUUCUACAUCAAGAUCAUUUUACCUAUUCUGAGUCCCUUGCAGUCCACUUGGAUUUUAGGAUUUAUUUAAUUUCUACAUAAAAAGCAUCUGUGAUUUUGAUAGUAUUUGUGUUGAAUCAAUACAUCAGAUUGAAGUAUGGUGGUAUUUUAACAGUAUUAAAUUUUCUAAUCCAUAAACAUGGAGUGUCUUUCCAUUUAUUUAGGUUUGUAAUUUCCUUUAAUGUUGUUCUUAUAGAUUUCAGUGUAUACAUCUUGGCUUUUUUGGGUUAAAUGUUUUUCACUUGAUGCUAUUAUAAAACAACUUUUUUUUAAAAAAAAUAUUUGUUUGGAUUACUCAUUGUACAUCUAGAAAGAAUUGAUAUUCGUGUAUUAACCUUACAUACCAUAGCUAUUCUGAACUGAUUUUGUUUUUAAAAUUUUUUAUAUAAGAUUGUGCAUCUGUGAAUAUAAAUACUUUUGUUUCCUCUCCAAUCUGAAUUAUUUUUAUUUGAUUUCCCUGCCUAAGUGCCCUGGCUAGCACAUCCAGUAUAUAGAAGUAAAUAGAAGUGGCAAGAGUGUACAACUUUUUCUUGUUUCUGAUUGUAGUGGGAAAGCUUUAGGCCUUUCACCAUUAAAUAUGUUGUUAGCUGUGGGAUUUUCAUAGAUACUGCAAGUUGAGAAAUAUUCCAUCUAUUCCUACCUUACUGAGUCUUUUUUUUUUUUUAAUCAAAAAAGGGUAUUGAAUUUUGUCAAAUGCUUCUGUAUCUAAAAAGGUUGUCAUGUAGUUUUUGUCCUUUAUUGAUAUGUUGUAUUACAUUGAUGGAAUUUUUGUAUUGAACGAACCUUGCAUUCCUGGAAUAACCCCACUUGUCUAUGCUACAUAAACCAUUUUCUAUGCUGCUGGAUUUGGUUUGCUAGUAUUUUGUUUAGCAUCUUUGCACCUAUAUUCAUAAAAGUUUCUGGCCUGUAGUUUUCUUGUUAUCUUUGUCUGGUUGCUAUCAGGGUAAUACUGACACUAGUCUCAAAAUAUACCUGGAGCUUUCCAACUGUUCUUAAAUCCAGUGAGGUUAAAAAUUAUAUAUUUUGAAAGUUACUCUGUGGUCUUUAGAUUCUGGAUGAUGUGGGAGAGUUAAUUGACUCUUGAAAGGAUUCCAAGGUAAGACAUGCCUAAAGUGCCAUUUGACAGCUGAAUAAAGUGAAGUUAACACCAGUCUUGGGUUCAGGUGGGUGUUUUUCAUGAGCCAUACAUAUAUCACUAUUAUAAGAAACUAGCCAUCAACUGCUUUCUUCCUUAGUAAACCAUGUACUUGGAAGCUGAGUGUCAUCCAUUAAACAUGCUUUCAUGGUAUUGGAAGCAUUGGAAACUAACAGCCAAGCAAGUUGAGUUUGCCCAUAAGGUAAAUUCUUGAAAUAAAGCUAUUAAUAUACCAUUUCCCACUACUGCUUGUCAUAAUUCUAACAACUCGAUGAGUAAGACAAUAUUUCCUGAAGUGUAGAAGUUCCCUAAGUACCUGUUAAAAUAGGUAGGGAGGGUGUUUUGAGUUGCUAUAGGAGGGCCUGAGCAGGAGGAAGACUUUUGUCUUCAAUUAAGAAUUGGUAAUUUUAAUGUUUCGCUGCUAUGGACUAUUUGUGCUGUUUAGUACUUGUAAAACUUAAAAAAAAAAAAA